AGAGUUUGAUCAUGGCUCAGAAUGAACGCUGGCGGCGUGCCUAAUACAUGCAAGUCGAACGUGAAAAGGGGCAACCCUUAGUAAAGUGGCGCACGGGUGAGUAACACGUAGGUAAUCUGCCUUUCUGUGGGGAAUAACACAGCGAAAGUUGUGCUAAUGCCGCAUACGUUAGUAAUAAGAAAGAGGCCGUCGCAAGAGGUCUCGCAGAAAGAAGAGCCUGCGUCCUAUUAGCUAGUUGGUGGUGUAAUGGACCACCAAGGCUACGAUAGGUAUCCGGUCUGAGAGGAUGAUCGGACACACUGGAACUGAGACACGGUCCAGACUCCUACGGGAGGCAGCAGUAGGGAAUAUUGCGCAAUGGGGGAAACCCUGACGCAGCAACGCCGCGUGAGUGAGGAAGGUCUUCGGAUUGUAAAACUCUUUUAUCAGGGAAAAAUGUCUUAGUGGUUAAUACCCAUUAGGAGUGAUGGUACCUGAGGAAUAAGCACCGGCUAACUUCGUGCCAGCCGCCGCGGUAAUUC
rnacentral:rRNA from 1 species